rnacentral:rRNA from 1 species
AUUGAACGCUGGCGGCAUGCCUUACACAUGCAAGUCGAACGGUAACAGGUCUUCGGAUGCUGACGAGUGGCGAACGGGUGAGUAAUACAUCGGAACGUGCCCGAUCGUGGGGGAUAACGGAGCGAAAGCUUUGCUAAUACCGCAUACGAUCUACGGAUGAAAGCAGGGGACCGCAAGGCCUUGCGCGGACGGAGCGGCCGAUGGCAGAUUAGGGAGUUGGUGGGAUAAAAGCUUACCAAGCCGACGAUCUGUAGCUGGUCUGAGAGGACGACCAGCCACACUGGGACUGAGACACGGCCCAGACUCCUACGGGAGGCAGCAGUGGGGAAUUUUGGACAAAGGGCGAAAGCCUGAUCCAGCCAUGCCGCGUGCAGGAUGAAGGCCUUCGGGUUGUAAACUGCUUUUGUACGGAACGAAAAGACUCUUUCUAAUAAAGAGGGUCCAUGACGGUACCGUAAGAAUAAGCACCGGCUAACUACGUG